rnacentral:sRNA from 1 species
CGACAUCCUCGGCCGCGCUGCCCCGAAUACUCGGCGCGGGUGCCCGGGCCCCGUCGCGCUGGUUGGGCUUCCUCGGGAAGGCGACCCCCCGGCCUGCUCGGCCGAGCCGCAGGACGCUUGGAAGCGCGACGGCCCUUAUGAUCCGCGAGUCCGAGGACAGCACCGGUAACACUGGGCGCCCAGCCGAGUUGGGUGGGAACGAGGAGAGGCCGGCAGCCGCGGGGGAUGCGAACCCUAGAGGGGCCUGGGCGCUGCACGCGGUCGAAACUGCGCGCUCCGCUGGGCUCCUCCCACUCCCGUGCUCGCCGCCGCUCGGUCCUGCCGGACGUAGCACAGCGGGCUGAGGCCACCGCCUCACCAUGGAUAGGAUUUCAACGACAAGAUUUUGAAUGAGCCCCUCAAGCACUCUGACUUCUUCAGUGUCAAGGAACUGUUUUCCGUGAGAAGCCUCUUCGAUGCCCGAGUCCAUCUGGGACACAAAGCUGGCUGUCGGCACAGGUUUAUGGAGCCGUACAUCUUUGGGAGCCGCCUGGACCACGACAUCAUCGACC